UGACUAUAAAAGAACAGAGAAGGAAGGGCUUCGGUGACCGGCAGCCUGGCUGACUUACAGCAGUCAGACUCUGACAGGAUCAUGGCUAUGAUGGAGGUCCAGGGGGGACCCAGCCUGGGGCAGACCUGCGUGCUGAUCGUGAUCUUCACAGUGCUCCUGCAGUCUCUCUGUGUGGCUGUAACUUACGUGUACUUUACCAACGAGCUGAAGCAGAUGCAGGACAAGUACUCCAAAAGUGGCAUUGCUUGUUUCUUAAAAGAAGAUGACAGCUCUUGGGACCCUAAUGACGAAGACAGUAUGAACAGCCCCUGCUGGCAAGUCAAGUGGCAACUCCGUCAGCUCGUUAGAAAGAUGAUUUUGAGAACCUCUGAGGAAACCAUUUCUACAGUUCAAGGUAGUAUCUUUUUUGUUGCUAUUUUAAUUUUUUACUGUCAUCUUCAUGACAGGUUGUGAAUAGUUCUCCAUUCUCCUUCUCUGUGUUCUCAUCCACUCAUCCAUCCUCUGAUCUGCUGCUCUGUAUCUCAAGCCACUUGUUGAUUCUACUUCUCUCUUUACAUUGGCAGCUA
rnacentral:sRNA from 1 species